UUGCCAGCAUUCAUUGGGCACUCUAAAGAGACUGCCGAUGACAAAUCGGAGGAAGGUGGGGAUGACGUCAAAUCAUCAUGCCCUUUAUGUCCUGGGCUACACACGUGCUACAAUGGUCGGUACAACGAGAAGCAAGUCAGCGAUGGCAAGCAAAUCUCUAAAGGCCGAUCCCAGUUCGGAUUGCAGGCUGCAACUCGCCUGCAUGAAGUCGGAGUUGCUAGUAAUCGCGGAUCAGAAUGCCGCGGUGAAUGCGUUCCCGGGUCUU
rnacentral:rRNA from 1 species